rnacentral:snoRNA from 1 species
GCGAUCUUACUCGCAAGGAUCAUGUAUAUAGUACAUAAUCCCGUCUUAGUUUCCCAACUUAGACGCACACUCAACCCAGGAUGACGAGGCCUAACCUCAUUUGUACUAACGUGAGGCGUAAGACUUGUUCUUUCGAAGAUCCAUUGUCUGACCUACUAUAGGUUAGACUACGUGCAAAUGGGGUAGUCUGACUGGU